UCGAUCUCUCCUCCUCUCUCAUCUCCAACAAUGGAGCCUCAAACUCCUUCUCUCUCCUUCGAUCUCCUUCUCCAUAACCACCACUUUCCCUUUCCUUUUCUCUCUCCUUCUCCAGAACUGCGCCGCAAGCAACGCCGCUCUCCUUCUCCUUCUCAGUCCGAAAUCGGUGUUAUUAGAGCCAAGCACAACCACCAUCGCCGCCGCCGUCAAUUUGAACCAAAUACAACAGCAACAACAAACUUGAAUCAAUUAUCGAUUCAAAAAUCACAAAUUCGAGGAUUUCUCAGUCUCUCAGAUCACUCCUCCACCAGCAGCGGCGGCUUAUCUCACUCCUCCACUAGCGGCACUCUCUCGCAUAGUCCUCCUUGCUCUCCUUCCCUCUGUUUUUCUUCAGGUUUGACUUCUAAGUUUUGGAAUUGGUCUUCGAAGUCCCAAGUGUUUGAUCUUCAUGAGCAGUGCACUUUUAGCGUGCACCCGGAGUGCAGCACUGGUGGUUGUGGUGCAGCGACUUCUUGGUAGAUGAACAAGAAAGAGAAAGUACUUGUCUCUUCUCAGCUCUCACUCUAGUCUCAGGUAUUACUUCAAUUCGUCUGUCAUUUAUAAAUUCCCCUUUUAAUUCCUAAAUUAUGAUAAAUUGGUGUAUAUAUAAGUUUAUGUUUUUUGCCCAAAUUAUAUUAUUUCAUACUAAAAAAUUUCCAUCCAUUAUUACACAAGUAGAAAGACAGAAAUCAGCACCGCAAUUUUCGCACUGGUUUUUAAAAACCGGCGCCAAAAAAUAUAGGCGGGAUUGAGGGAAAGAGUUUUCGCACAGGUUCUAACCAAACCGGUGCGAAAAAUGAGUUAAUCACACCGGUUCGGUUCAAACCGGUGCGAAUUCUAUUGUAAAAAAAAAACGGUCUUUUUAACUUUCUUUCUCUUUCCUCGAUCUCUCCUCCUCUCUCAUCUGCCUCUCUCUCCUUCUCUCUCCUACGGUUCAACAAUGGAGGCUCAACUCUUUCCUCAAACUCCUUUUCUCUCUCCUUCGAUCUCCUUCUCCAUAACCGUCGCUUUUCCUUUCCUUUUCUCUCUCCUUCGAUCUCCUUCUCCAUAACUGCGUCGCAAGCAAUGCCGCUCUCCUUCUCCUUCUCAGUCCGAAAUCGGCGUGAUUAGAACCAAGCACAACCACCAUCACCGCCGCCGUCAAUUUGAACCAAAUACAACGCACUGCUAUGAGUUAAUGGUUUCUAUAACGCACUGCUAGGAGUUAAUUCAACCUUUACUUGAGGUACUUUUUUCUUCAAUUGCUUCUGAGAUUUUUUUGUCGUUUGAAGUUCCUCGGUUUGCAUUAUAUUCUUGGUUGGAUUUUCUUUUCUCUUUUCUGGGUUCUUAUUUUUUUUUUUUUUCUUCUGGAAUCUUCCCAUCAUGAAGUAUGUAUAUUUUACCCAAGUUAUUUCUUGUAAUUUAAUCCAUAUGCAUUGUUGAAUUUUAAGGUGAUUUGGAUGAUUUUGUUAUAAGGGUUUGUUUUUGUUUGGAUUUUUGGUGAUGGGUUUGUGAAUUUUUAACAAGAUUUGAUUGAUAUUGAAAUAUUUGUUGUGAUUGUUCUAAAUCUUUAUUUGAUUACAAGUAUAUGAUAAGCCGUAAAUGUCUGAUUAAAACAGCUUAAUUUGUUUGAAAAUGCUGGUGUAUGAAUGUUAAUUCUACUGUUGAUGGUUCUGUGAAUCCGUAAAUGGGGUGUAAGAUCAAGUGGUCAGCAUGGUCGUAGCAAAUGGGAACUACCUGUUGAUGGUUUUGUGAAGGUGAACUUCGAUGCUGCCUUGUUGGCUGGAAUUGAUGUAAGCCUUGGAGUUGUAAUUCGUGAUGGGGUUGGCAGGGUGCUGGCUGCCAGUGUGAAAAGAGUUCCCGCAGGUGAUGUUCCUGUCAUUCUUGCUGAAGCAAUGGCAGCAAGAUAUGGUGUUUUGAUUGCAAAACAACUCCAGUUUGGCAGAGUGGAAUUAGAGGGGGAUGUAUCUUAUUUUAACAUCCAUACUAAUUUGUUUGCAGCUAUCGCAUCGAAGCUAGGGAAUGUAAAGGUAGAUAAUCUUAGUCCAGUUACUAUUGCAAUUGAGGUGCUUGGUCUGGUGAUGGCUGGUUUUGUCUUCUGUUUGUUUUGUUAGCUGCUUGUUCUUGGUGGGCUGCUGGCCUGUUGUUUCUCAGCGUCUGUUGUCUAUUGCUCUACUGCCUACCAACUGUUGUUGUUCUAUGGUCUGCUUUGCCAGCUGAUGCUCAACCUUGCUGCUUUGCUGUCUGCUGUUGCUUUGUGGAUUGCUGGGUUGUUACCUGGUUCUUUAUUGUUCUUUGUGCUUCUGUAUUAGCUGCAGCCUAUUUUUUUUAUCUGUGUGUUCCAGUUGCUGUUCUCUGUCUGUUCCUGGCUGCUAGCGCUGCAUCAACUUGAUUAUGUGCUGUUGUUGGUAUUCGCUGCUGAUGCUUUGCUGGGUUCGAUGCUUCUAGUUUUGCUGGUGCUGUCGCUGUUAUGCUGGAUGUGCUGUUGUUGUUUGCUUGCUGUCCUGGUUACUCAAAGGUCGCUCUGGUGUGCUUUUUGGUGUUGCAAGCUUGCUGCUAAGUUGUCUAGAGGUGUAUUCUUCUAGCUGUUAUUCCUGUUGCUUUGCCGCUGCCUAUUUGCUUUGUAUAUUUUGUUUGGUAGAUUCUUGAUGUUGAAACUUUUGGCUUUGUUUUUCUUUAAAAAAAAAAAAAAAAAAAAAAAAAAAACCUAACAUAGUAUGCUUCUGUACAAUUGUACACGUCUUUUUAGUGUUGUAUGUAUCCAUUUCAUUGCACAGCCAAUAAUCAAUGUAGCCUAGGGGUGUACAUAAACAGGACCGGACCUGAAAACCGACCUGAUCCCGGACCUGUUGGGACCGGACCUGAC